rnacentral:tRNA from 1 species
GCCCUUAUAGUGCAAUGGUUAGCAUGUAUCCUUCCGGUGGUUGCGAUCCGGGUUCGAAUCCUGGUAGGGGCU